rnacentral:rRNA from 1 species
UACGGAGGGUGCAAGCGUUGUCCGGAAUCACUGGGCGUAAAGGGCGCGUAGGCGGCUCAUGAAGGCUGUGGUGAAAGUCCGGGGCUCAACCUCGGAUCGGCCGUGGCGACUCGUGGGCUGGAGCACUGUAGAGGCGGGUGGAAUUCCGGGUGUAGCGGUGGAAUGCGUAGAGAUCCGGAAGAACACCAGUGGCGAAGGCGGCUCACUGGCCCGAUACUGACGCUGAGGCACGAAAGCGUGGGGAGCAAACAGG